rnacentral:rRNA from 1 species
UUGAAAGGGAAACGAUUGAAGUCAGUCGUACCAGCGGGAAUCAACCUUUCGAGUGGUGUUUUGGAGUUUUGAAGUGUGUCAAAACCUUUGAGAUUUUAAAAUUUUCGCUCUUUUGGUGUACUUUCUCGUGGGUAGGUUAACAUCGAUUUUGAUCAUCAUAAAAAGACUGGAGGAAUGUAGCUUCGAUCUUGUAUUGAAGUGUUAUAGCCUUUGGUAAAUGUGAUGAUUAGGAUCGAGGAUUGCAACGAAUACCCUUUUGGGCUAUCCGCCUGAUCUCUGAUACGUGGCCUUGGUAUCGAAAGCUUGCUUAUGGUAUUAAGGUAUUACGGUCAAAAGGUUAGAACGGAUUACAUUCGUUAAGGAUGUUGACGUA